CACACAAACAAACACACCUGCUUCGUGUUCGGCACAGAGGGAAAGAAAUUUGUAGAAUUUUAAACGAAGCAUUGAAAAGUGAGACGCGUUUUACAUUCAAGUGCUGAAAAUUGUGUGUUUUAAUUGAUUUCCAACACAAUUAAUUGCUUUGAAAAUAGUGAAAUAUUUGAAUUAACAAAGAACAACAAAUUGUAUACAAAAAAAUCCUAACAAAAUGUCGCUGUUUGGCUCAAUAAUGGGAGAUUUCGAUGAUGACCUUUUCAUGGGCAAUCACAUGAAUGCCAUGAACAUGCAAAUGCGUUCGAUGAAUCGUUUGAUGAACUCAUUCAUGCCCGAUCCAUUCAAUAUGUUGGCACCAUUCGACAACGGCUUCCAACAGAAUGCACUUAUGGAGCGUGGCAAUCCACAUGCCGUUAAUCCAAUGGGUGGACUUUUUGGUUUUCCAGCUAUGCCAAAUAUGAAUAGACUACUCAGUGCGGACAUUGGUACACCAAAUGGCGCCUCAUAUUGCUCCAGCUCAGUGAUUACCAUGUCUUCGGGUCCAGAUGGUCGUCCACAAAUCUAUCAGGCCACAACUAGUACAAAAACUGGACCAGGUGGUGUACGUGAAACACGUAAGACAGUUGAGGAUUCAAGGCGUGGCAUGAAGAAAAUGGCUAUCGGUCAUCAUAUUGGCGAACGUGCGCAUAUCAUUGAAAAAGAACAAGACUUACGUUCCGGUCAAUUAGAGGAGCGUCAAGAGUUUAUCAAUUUGGAGGAAGAUGAUGCCGAGGACUUUGAUCGUGAAUUCACUAACCGCGCACGUAUGGGCGGUGCACGUGGUGGACGUCCACAAGAGAUGAUCACCAUUGAAUCGGCUGAUGAUGACGAUGAUGUACGUCCACGUCAUUAUAGCAGACAUCACGGUAGUGGUGGACAGCAUCGCAGACAAUUGCCAGCCUUGCCCGCACCGCCACAACAACAUAAUAGCUUGCCAUUGUCCAAUUCGUCGUCGUCGGUUGAUUCGUUGAACUCCAACUCUAAGCACAGCAGCAACAACAUCGAAACUGUAACUACAACGAAGCGUGCAAAUGCCAGCACAAACAACAAAACCACAGCGUCAACAACAACAACACUAAGCGGCAAUAGUAGAGUUAACAAUAGUAACAACAACAAUAGCUACUUGACAUCGAAUACAACGCUGCGCACUCCGUCCGCCGCUGGCUAUCAUCGUGGCAUUACCGCACGUCGUCCCUUACGUACGCCACCAUCGUCGCCGCUAGCCACCACACCGACCAAUCAUAGUCACAGCACAGCGCCAACGACAAGAGAUUGGCGUUUGUAUAAUCCACGUUUUUAUCGCACAUAUAAAUAAACAAUAGAACCAAACAACAGCAACAGCAACGAAAAAUUAAAACAACUACAAUGCAACGUGCACACGAUCAGAUAAAAUAUAAACACAACUAAGCAAAUAAAAUACAAAACAUUAAUUAAAGAAAUUUAUGGAAAUUGCUUGAGAAGCAGUCGGAGACCACAACAACAACAGCAACAGUAAAAAACACAACAAAAUGAAUAGAUAAGAAUGUGCAUAAAUUUAAAUUAAUUUACUACAAACAUACAAAUGUAUGUACAACAUACAAACGGAUAACGAAAACGAUGACAAACGAAAUAAGACUAAAAAAUAAGUAAAACAACAAAGAUGUGAAUCAAUCAGACAUACAUAAUUAAUUGGCAGUAAUACAAUUGGUGGCAUACUUUAGAAAACAUAGCGUUAACAAUGCAACGAUCUCGAAACCAAACAACACAGUUCACUGCGCAAAGAAGACUUAUAGCUGCUUCGAAACACGUAUGCUGCACAGCUUUCCACAUGAGUGCAACACAUAUCUUGUUUUUCAUAAGCGACUGGAGUGCGUUGAAAGAGCAAACUUGAAAGCAGCUGUUAUGAGGCGCUCAAUGCGACUAAAGAUUUUGGUUAAUGCAGCACGAACAAGAAAAAAAAAACAAGAAAAUUUUAUAAAACGAAUUUACAAAUCCAAAGUGCCUUUUCCACUACCUACCAACUCUGUACUUUAAACCCAAGCUGUCAUAAUGUCAACUGCUCUGCUGAAUUGAUGUGUUUAAUGAAUUGUUACUCUUCCCAGCCUGAUGUUGUACAUCCCCAUCCAUAUAACGCUUCGGCCGCACGCCGCAAUUACCGCUCUAAACACAGCAAACAACACCAAAUGCCACAUCAGCCGCAAACACUCACCAUAACCGAGGUCAUCGAUGACGACGAUGAUGAUGAGGUGCAGCCAACUGCUGGUGCGGUAAUCGUAGAAGAGGUGGAGGAUGAUGUAGCAGGCAACGCAACA